CAGGCUGUACAGGAGGCAUGGCUGGGGAGGCCUCAGAAAACUUACAAUCAUGGCAGAAGGUGAAGGGGAAGCCAGCACAUCUUCAUAUGAUGGCAGGGCCUCGAUUCUGUCCUCCUCGUCCUGCAUCUCCAGAGCACCCAUCCACUCCUCAAAGAGGGUGCUCUAUGCUUAGCCCAUCAUAGAUUGUGGCCCUUCAUUCCUGCAUUUGAUGAAUCCAGGGAACCCUCUCUCCAACACCCUUGGCCUCUCUGCAACUUUCUAACAUCAGGCAGAGUCAGAGGCACCAUCCCCAGAAGCUACAAAUCUUCAGCAUUCUCCACUCUGUGAAGUCAGAGGAAUGGCGGGACCAUAGCUCUGAGCUCAUUGGCAAAUACAACUAAUUUCAAUUUCUGGAAUGGAAGCAGUCAGAUAUUCUUCUGACUGCACGCGUAUGUGGGAGUGCCAUGUUGAAGAGUGGAAAAUAUGGAAGAUCAGUCCCUACAAACUUAAUAGGAGAAUGACAUUCAGAUUUCCCGAGUAUUUUGCAUGUCCAACUGAAAACUGAAGUAGGUUUAUGAGAGAAUGCACGCCUACCUGGAUGGGUCUGGGGAGUGUGUCACUGUCACCGCAGAUAAUUGACAAGGGCUGAUCAAAUAGCGAUGCUUUCAAGUCUGUCUCCAAAGCCCCAGAAAAAUCUGAUGCAGGGGAGAGCCUUCUCAUGAGAAAGGGCCAGGACAGCACCUUCUUUCUCUUCUUAACUUCUACAGCCAAGAAAACAAGGCAACGAGAAAAAUUAGACUACAGUGUUAAGAAGCAAAGAUCCAGGUAAGAAAAUGGGUAUCGUUGGCCGCAUAAUGUGGUCAAUAGUAUGCGAUGUGAGAAAAAUAAUUUUGAAAACUUGAGAAAGCAAAGGGCGUGAAUCUUAAUCUAGAAAAACCAACCGAUAAACAACCACACUGUUACCAGGGCAACCAGUUCCCUAAACAGCAACACCAGAGUUCCUCAAGGCC
ensembl:lncRNA TAGAP-AS1 TAGAP antisense RNA 1